rnacentral:rRNA from 1 species
UACGUAGGGGGCAAGCGUUGUCCGGAUUUAUUGGGCGUAAAGAGCGUGUAGGCGGCCAGACAGGUCUGCUGUGAAAACUCGGAGGCUCAACCUCGAGACGCCGGUGGAAACCGUCUGGCUAGAGUCCGGAAGAGGAGAGUGGAAUUCCUGGUGUAGCGGUGAAAUGCGCAGAUAGUCAGGAAGAACACCCGUGGCUAAGGCGGCUCUCUAGUACGGUACUGACGCUGAGACGCGAAAGCGUGGGGAGCGAACAGG